AGGGCGUAUCCCGAAAAGCCUGUAAUAGAGUAGGGA
rnacentral:ncRNA from 1 species